GUGAGGAAUUUUCCGCAAUGGGCGAAAGCCUGACGGAGCAAUGCCGCGUGAAGGAUGAAGGCCUAUGGGUUGUAAACUUCUUUUCUCAGAAAAGAAUUAUGACGGUAUCUGAGGAAUAAGCAUCGGCUAACUCUGUGCCAGCAGCCGCGGUAAGACAGAGGAUGCAAGCGUUAUCCGGAAUGAUUGGGCGUAAAGCGUCUGUAGGUUGUUUAAAAAGUAUUCUGUCAAAGAUUAGGGCUUAACCCUAGAUAGGCAGAAUAAACUUUUAAGCUAGAGUGUGGUAGAGGCAGAGGGAAUGCCCGGUGGAGCGGUGAAAUGCGUAGAUAUCGGGAGGAACACCAAAGGCGAAGGCACUCUGCUGGGCCAAUACUAACACUGAGAGACGAAAGCGAGGGGAGCAAAUGGGAUUAGAUACCCGUGUAGUCC
rnacentral:rRNA from 1 species